AGCGAACGCUGGCGGCAUGCCUAACACAUGCAAGUCGAGCGAAGGCAUGAGUGUAGCAAUACACUUAUGUACUUAGCGGCGGACGGGUGAGUAACACGUGGAUAAUCUGCCCUGGGGACCGGGACAACUCUUGGAAACGGGAGCUAAUACCGGAUGUGACCACGAUGCUUGAGGGCAUUGGGGUAAAAGGUGGCCUGCAAGGGCUAUUGCCUUGGGAUGAGUCACGACCCAUCAGGUAGUUGGGGGGU
rnacentral:rRNA from 1 species